rnacentral:rRNA from 1 species
GAUGAACGCUGGCGGCGUGCCUAAUACAUGCAAGUCGAGCGAACAGACGAGGAGCUUGCUCCUCUGACGUUAGCGGCGGACGGGUGAGUAACACGUGGAUAACCUACCUAUAAGACUGGGAUAACUUCGGGAAACCGGAGCUAAUACCGGAUAAUAUAUUGAACCGCAUGGUUCAAUAGUGAAAGACGGUUUUGCUGUCACUUAUAGAUGGAUCCGCGCCGCAUUAGCUAGUUGGUAAGGUAACGGCUUACCAAGGCAACGAUGCGUAGCCGACCUGAGAGGGUGAUCGGCCACACUGGAACGGAGACACGGUCCAAACUCCUACGGGAGGCAGCAGUAGGGAAUCUUCCGCAAUGGGCGAAAGCCUGACGGAGCAACGCCGCGUGAGUGAUGAAGUUCUUCGGAUCGUAAAACUCUGUUAUUAGGGAAGAACAAAUGUGUAAGUAACUAUGCACGUCUUGACGGUACCUAAUCAGAAAGCCACGGCUGACUACGU